GGUCAGUGAUGUGAUGUAAAAGGUCUGAUGUCCAGCUCUCCGUCAGUCUCAUUGCUCCUCCCAGCCGCCCCUGCUCAUUUCCCAGCAUGCUCUAGUCGUGUUUUGUUGGUUUGAGGCGGCAGCUGAUACUCUGGACAUUUUUGCUAAAUUAACAGUCUCUUAGAGAAUAAAGUGAGAUCUGAACAGCAGUGUCCGACAUCAACACGACACACAGGAGGGCGAGACUGAUGGAGACGGGUCAACUGAUCUCAAAACUCAAACUGAGACC